GUAAAAUUCAUGGCAUACAUGUAAUAACAGUAUCGACAAAAUAAAUUAAGAUGGGCCUUCAUUCACCAUGUCCCAUACCCAACUCAAGAACUGUGUCACCACCUCGGAGUUUUGAAUACGGACCAUUUGUUAAGGAAAAGAGGACGAGAGCUCCCAGCCACUCCAUGAUAUCGAUCAUAGCAACCUGUAACUCCAGCUCCAGAGCCUCCAGUGAUCUCUGCAGCUUACCUCAGAUACCAGCGCACACCAACAUGUACGCAUACAGCACAACAGUAAUGUGUCAAAGCAUGAAUACAUGGCAGAAGAAAACCACUCUGUGAGGAAAAGAAUAAAGAAUGAACUGAAGGUUUGGAGUUUUCAUCAUUUCCCUCAAGAGCUUCCCACCAACCUCUCAUCAGGCUCAGUCCUACAAGGUCUCAUCACUUCCAGCAGAGCCAUCCCAGGGAUCCAUACAUGGACUCUUGAAGAACAUUCAAGUUUCAUUUGAAGCCUAUAGACACUUCUCUAUAUGAAAAACACUACACUAGAGACAAAAGUAAAAACACCAGUGAUUGGCAUUUAAAACGUUACAGCGGUUGGAUAAAUGGCUCAACAGUUAAGAGCAUUUGCUGUUUCUGGAGAGGACCUGGGUUAGGUUUCCAGCACUCACAUAACAGUUAACAACCCUCUGUAACUCCAGUUCCAGGGAAUCCAAUGCCCUCUUCUGACUUCCAUGGACACCAGGUAUGCAUCUUGUGUACAUAUUUCCAUACAAGCAAAACACUCACACAUAAACCAAAUAAAACAAAGCUUAAAAAAAUAAGUAAUUCAAAAAAUAGUAAUAUCACAAGGAAGAGGAAAAGAUGAUAGAGAUAAUGGUCAGAUGAAAGGGGGCUGUUGAGAUGGCUCAGUAGGUAAAGGCACUUACCGCCAAGCUUGAGGACCUGAGUUUAAUUGUCAGUAAAGUGAAAACUGACUUCAGCAAGUUGUACUCUGAUCUUCAUUACAGGUGCUGUGGCAUGUCUUCUACCACCCAACACACACACAUACACACA